rnacentral:rRNA from 1 species
GAUGAGCGCUGGCGGCGUGCCUAAUACAUGCAAGUCGAGCGAACGGACGAGAAGCUUGCUUCUCUGAUGUUAGCGGCGGACGGGUGAGUAACACGUGGAUAACCUACCUAUAAGACUGGGAUAACUUCGGGAAACCGGAGCUAAUACCGGAUAAUAUUUUGAACCGCAUGGUUCAAAAGUGAAAGACGGUCUUGCUGUCACUUAUAGAUGGAUCCGCGCUGCAUUAGCUAGUUGGUAAGGUAACGGCUUACCAAGGCAACGAUGCAUAGCCGACCUGAGAGGGUGAUCGGCCACACUGGAACUGAGACACGGUCCAGACUCCUACGGGAGGCAGCAGUAGGGAAUCUUCCGCAAUGGGCGAAAGCCUGACGGAGCAACGCCGCGUGAGUGAUGAAGGUCUUCGGAUCGUAAAACUCUGUUAUUAGGGAAGAACAUAUGUGUAAGUAACUGUGCACAUCUUGACGGUACCUAAUCAGAAAGCCACGGCUAACUACGUGCCAGCAGCCGCGGUAAUACGUAGGUGGCAAGCGUUAUCCGGAAUUAUUGGGCGUAAAGCGCGCGUAGGCGGUUUUUUAAGUCCGAUGUGAAAGCCCACGGCUCAACCGUGGAGGGUCAUUGGAAACUGGAAAACUUGAGUGCAGAAGAGGAAAGUGGAAUUCCAUGUGUAGCGGUGAAAUGCGCAGAGAUAUGGAGGAACACCAGUGGCGAAGGCGACUUUCUGGUCUGUAACUGACGCUGAUGUGCGAAAGCGUGGGGAUCAAACAGGAUUAGAUACCCUGGUAGUCCACGCCGUAAACGAUGAGUGCUAAGUGUUAGGGGGUUUCCGCCCCUUAGUGCUGCAGCUAACGCAUUAAGCACUCCGCCUGGGGAGUACGACCGCAAGGUUGAAACUCAAAGGAAUUGACGGGGACCCGCACAAGCGGUGGAGCAUGUGGUUUAAUUCGAAGCAACGCGAAGAACCUUACCAAAUCUUGACAUCCUUUGACAACUCUAGAGAUAGAGCCUUCCCCUUCGGGGGACAAAGUGACAGGUGGUGCAUGGUUGUCGUCAGCUCGUGUCGUGAGAUGUUGGGUUAAGUCCCGCAACGAGCGCAACCCUUAAGCUUAGUUGCCAUCAUUAAGUUGGGCACUCUAAGUUGACUGCCGGUGACAAACCGGAGGAAGGUGGGGAUGACGUCAAAUCAUCAUGCCCCUUAUGAUUUGGGCUACACACGUGCUACAAUGGACAAUACAAAGGGCAGCGAAACCGCGAGGUCAAGCAAAUCCCAUAAAGUUGUUCUCAGUUCGGAUUGUAGUCUGCAACUCGACUACAUGAAGCUGGAAUCGCUAGUAAUCGUAGAUCAGCAUGCUACGGUGAAUACGUUCCCGGGUCU